GAGGGCAUAGCUCAGUGAUAGAGCAAGUGCUUAGCACGCAAGAGUCCUGGGUUCAAUCCCUGGUACCUCCG
rnacentral:tRNA from 1 species